CCUACGGUAUGCAGCAGUGAGGAAUAUUGGUCAAUGGGCGCGAGCCUGAACCAGCCAAGUCGCGUGAAGGAUGACUGCCCUACGGGUUGUACACUUCUUUUAUAAAGGAAUAAAGUGAGGCACGUGUGCCUUUUUGUAUGUACUUUAUGAAUAAGGCUCGGCUAACUCCGUUCCAGCAGCCGCGGUAAUACGGAGGAUCCGACCGUUAUCCGGAUUUAUUGGGUUUAAAGGGAGCGUAGAUGGGUUGUUAAGUCAGUUGUGAAAGUUUGCGGCUCAACCGUAAAAUUGCAAUUGAUACUGGCAGUCUUGAGUACAGUAGAGGUAGGCGGAAUUCGUGGUGUAGCGGUGAAAUGCUUAGAUAUCACGAAGAACUCCGAUUGCGAAGGCAGCUUACUAAACUGCCACGCACAUUGAUGCUCGAAAGUGUGGGUAUCAAACAGGAUUAGAUACCCCUGUAGUC
rnacentral:rRNA from 1 species